rnacentral:lncRNA from 1 species
AAAAAACAGCUGUAGCCAAGAAAACAUGCUCAAGGACCAAAGAUUUAACAGAUAAAAAUUCCCAAGCAGAAGAGAUAGAAUAGGAUAUAUAAAGAGUUACUAUAUUUGUUACACACCAAUACACAUCAAAGUGCCUGUUGCUUUCAGAAGAUUUGAAGUGGAAAAGGUUAUUUUAUGGUUUAAUAAUUAUUUUAUUUUAUCAGGGACUCAAGAAAAAAAAAUAAAACAACAUAUAAGCUUGUGAAUGGUGGAGGAAAUGCCCUAUUUUUUUUUUUUUUUUUGGCAAAUACCUAUAUAAAGUUGAUAUUGUUUGGUGUGAUGUUAUCAUAGGUACGUAUAUAUUGUUUGUGUGUAUACACACACACAUAUAUGUGAUAUGUAUGUAUGUAUAUAUACACACACUACUUUGUCUAUGAUCUAAAAUAAUGUAUCAAAUAGGAAAAAUUUAAAUAUAGUGCUUUUUAUGUUUUUGGUAGGAUCUUAGAAGACAUGGGCAAACUGCAAUGAUGACUUAAAACCCAUAAAAAAAUAAGACAAGUGGAGGUAAAUGAGUAAUAUAUUUGUAGGAAAAGCAGAGAUUACACAUUUAUAGUGAGUUUUUUCUUAUUUUCAGUGAGCCAGAGAACUUCACAAAUGGAAGAAUAUUUGGUAGCAUACUUUUUAAUUGACUUACUUGACAUUUUGAGAGUCUGAACCCCUCCCCCUUAAAUAAAUGGAAUCACAUACCUUCAAGGCUUAGAACUUGUGGAUCAUGGACCAGAGAUAGGAUAACUAAAUCCAUAAACUGCGGAAAAAAAAUUCUGGAACCUGAACACUACUUCCUAAUAUUUAAAUGAAAAUACAAAUGAGUGCAUUCUACAUUUUGGACCACUAGAAUUUAAUAAAUGUGAAAUGACCAUUUUUAAAGAGUAUUUGCACAAUUACAUAAAGUUUAUAUAUAGGAUAUCUAUAUUAUAUAUACAUAUAUAUACAUUUUAUAAAUUUAUCCGAUAUGAAAUAUGUUUGAUCUGGUUGUCACACUGCAUAGAAAUAUGUAGUACUGCACCUUAAAUUAAAUCACGUUGUAUUCGCUCAAACCCAGCUUUAGUUUUCUCUCCCAGGAGACCAUUUGUGUACCUUUGUGUCGUGAACUGAUAUUUUCAUGUUCAGCGACAGCUAAACUUAACUCCUGUCCCAGCUCUGUAGACCUUG